rnacentral:rRNA from 1 species
CGCCUCUUGAAUUUUAUAAGAGGUCCAGCCUGCCCAGUGACUCUGUUUAACGGCCGCGGUAUCCUAACCGUGCGAAGGUAGCGUAAUCACUUGUUCUUUAAAUGUGGACUAGUAUGAAUGGCACCACGAAGGUUAUACUGUCUCCUCUUUCUAAUCAGUGAAACUAAUCUCCCCGUGAAGAAGCGGGGAUAAAACUAUAAGACGAGAAGACCCUAUGGAGCUUUAAACAACAUAGCACUUGCCACAUACCAUUAAAAUUUCAGAAUCUUUAAUUAUCUGAGCAACAUGACUAUAAGUUUUUGGUUGGGGUGACCGCGGAGCAUAACACAACCUCCAUGUUGAAAGAACCAUUUUCUAAGCUAAGAACUACAACUCUAAGCAUCAACAUAUUAACAUCCAUUGACCCAAUACACUUGAACAACGAACCAAGUUACCCUAGGGAUAACAGCGCAAUCCACUUCAAGAGCUCCUAUCGACAAGUGGGUUUACGACCUCGAUGUUGGAUCAGGGUUUCCCAGUGGUGCAGCCGCUACUAAAGGUUCGUUUGUUCAACGAUUAAAACCCU